AUGCAGAAACUGAGGUCCAGAGAAGUUAAGAACCUUGUCCCAGGACUUGGAGUCCCACAGCCCUGGUGCUAACCCUGCUUCACCUCCAGGGGCUGUGUGACUUUGGAUCAGGCAUCUUGCUUCUCUGAGCCUAUACGUGGCUGCAGAAGAAUUCCUGGCAGUUUGCUCUAAGGUUCCAGAAGGAAAUCGUUGUGCAGCGCACAGUAGACACGCCAGGAGCUGUAGUUCCCAUGCAUCCGUGGAUCUGCAUCCCGCUUGGCCACAGAGACCCACUCCCUGUGACCUGGUGUCUGUUUAGAGAUGGGGUAACCGAGCUCCCCUGUGAGGAAGUGACUUCUACCUGAGACACUGGACAGGGCAGAGUUAAAACUCCCGGAACUUGCAUUUUUGGACCUGCCUCCAGGACCCUGGGGAUUUCCACCAG